GAGUUUCGCCGCCGAAGAGAAGGUCCGCGGAAGUCGCUCUCUCCGAAUAAUUCGAUAUAAUUUUUCAAAAUCAACUAUUUCUGUCAAAAACAUGGAGUUUUGAAGAAAAAGUAUUGAAAUUGGACUGUUGACAACCAAAGAUGAGUAUCAGCAUUUCUGAAUUCUUUAGAUGUUUGUUACCGAACAAGAAGUUUUAAAGAAAAUUGAGAAAAAAUCCGGAGAAUAAAGAACAAGUUAAGGAGACUUCAAAUGAGAGCAUAAGAACACUCUAACAGACAUACAAGGUUUUGCUGUGUUGUGCGCUUCUAAUAACAACAAUGGGAAGGCAGUUAAGCCAGUUUGGUCUCCUGUUAUGGAAGAACUUCAUUCUUCAGUUUCGGAGGCCAGUUGGAACAACCUUUGAGAUUCUGGUUCCUGUAGCCUGUGCAUCGUUACUCCUAUUAGCAAGGUACAGUACAUGUACAAUCUAGGCAAAGUAAUUUUCCCCUUAUAGACUAGAGCCAUUCUGGAAAAAGAGGCCUAUAUAAACUUCUAGAGGAAUUUUGGGGUCAAAGUUUGGGACUGAUCUAUUUCCCACAAUUCAAAUGUGCUGAAUCUGAUUAGAGUGGUUCCCAAGCUGAUUUCUCAUGUUUUAACCACCUAAUUUGCAUAAACAAAAUGGCUGCCAAAUUGACCAUUCAGAAUCUUAUUUCUACAAUAUUCUCUUAUAAUAUUCAAUUUCACAGACAUGGAUACUGCAAUAUCAUGUAUGUACAUAACAAGUACCAUUCGGGAAAAUUUGUUGAUUCUGUUUGCAGUUAAUUAAUUAUCCAAAUUUAUGUAUAUUUUGCAAUAUUAUGCUAUAAUUUGAUCAUUUCACCUCACACGUUUUUAAUUUUUGGUAAAAAUAAUAUUUUCAUUAUUAUGAAUAAUUGUAUUGCCCUUAAAAUAUAAUAUCACAGUCAAUGUUUAUGUAUUUGAUUGGUUUUUUAUUAUGUAUUUCUUUGUAUUUUCUAUCAUUUGUUUGGUACGUGGUUUGUUAUGCGAUCUGUCAAAGUAUUGAUUAUCAAAUGGCGCGUUUCUAUAGAGAAUGGUUAAAAACUGUUUAUCUUUUUCAGAAUGAAAAAAACGUAUUGCCCUUAAACCAACCUGUGUCUACAGAGCGAAUAAUCCGAUUAUCUCACAUUGUGCGUCACUGGACACGGCAAUAACCACCUCCCAGAGGUUGUUAUGAAAAACCAUAUUUUGCAACAGAGAAGUUUUCCGGAAUUCUGGAUAAUUAUGCGGGUAAUACCGUUUAACGAGUCUCUGAAGAAACACACCAAAAGACAGAAAAAUGAUUGGCUUCAAAGAUUUAAUUAUUUUAUCAAGCUUUUUGUUAAACUUUUAAUUUGUAUAUAUAUCCAUGGACAUACACACAUGCACCCACUCCCACACCCGCAUCUGCAUACAAAGUAAAAUGCUUACACGGUGGACCUUCCCAUUUAAAAGCAUACUGGUGGUGAUCUAACGAAUUUCACGAACCUGUCUGUAUUCAAAGCGAAUGUGUUUUUUGAUUUGCUUCAAUUUCAAUUAUAAAAUGAUUUAUUGAAUUAUGAGAUUAACCAAUUCAUUUAUAUUUAGAAUUUUAGAUGAUUAAUAAUAAUAAUAAUACAUGAGAUUUGUAAAGCGCACUUUCCAUCGUUAUUAGAUGCUCAAGGCGCUUCAGAGCAGAACAACAAACACUAUUUACAUAUAAUACAUAUAAUACAUGUCUGAACAAUAAGUCAAUGUCUAUCAAAAAACACUCUUAUACAGGUAUGUUUUCAGGUUGCCCUUAAAGGUGGUCACUGAAGUCUGGGUUUUCAAACUCUGUGGGAGGCCCUGCAUGAGCAAAGGCCCAUCCCCCCCGCAUGAUUUCUUAGCAACUGGAAUUUGUAAGAGAUUAGAUGAUGAGGAUUGUAAAUUUCUUGAGGGUUGGUAAUUAUGCAUCAAAGACGUAAUAGGGCCGUCUGCACCAUCCUGAGUUUUCAAAUUAGCGCUCUAUUUCUGAUCCGGCCAAUUAUCCUGAUCUGAACAAUCUCGAGAUUAUUUGCAAUGGAGACGCAAUUAUCGCGCUAGUUCGUAGGAUUAAUCUCGAGAUUGCAAUCCCAAGUCAACUUGGGAUUAUUUGCAAAAUAUUGCGCUAUUUUACGAAUUAUCGCGCUAAUUCGUAGGUGCAGACGCACUCGGGAUUAUUUAUUCACAGCGUCAGACCAUAAUGCAGCGAUGCCUCGCUCGAGCAGGAAUCGCUCUUCUUGCGAUGGUGGAGACAGGGUUUCUUGAAUCGCGAAGAGGGCCUAUCGGGCUAAAAUCUCGAGAUUGAGCAAACUCGGGAUGGUGCAGCACCGCCUAUUGUAACUGGGGGAAGUUCCAUUGACUAUAUGAAAAAUCAAAAGGAUUUUAAAGACUAUGCGUUUCUUCAGUGGCAAUCAGUGAAGAGUUUUUAAUAUAGGGGUGAUGUGGCUGCGCUUGCUAGAUAGAGUUACAAUACGAGCAGCUGCAUUUUGCAACCUUUGCAAUUUCCCAAGUUGAGAAUCUGGUAAGUUGUAAAGGAGGCUAUUACCAAAAUCGAAUCGUGGAGAAAUUAGUGAAUGUACCAGUUUCUCUGUUGCUGAGCGAGUGAGAUAUUUUCUUAUGAAGCCAAUAUUGCGCAAUUGAUAACAAACUGACCUGCAAAUGCUUGUAAUCUGGUUGGACAUGGACAAGUGAGAAUAAAAAAUAACUCAAAAAUUACGACAUGAUUUUGACAAGGUGAUGUCAUUGCCUGAGAUAGAAAUGGAAUCAAUGUUGAAUUUGUUAAGUUGAAACUUUGAGCCAAAAACUAAAAACUCACAUUUUAAUACUAUGGUUCAAAAGUAGCGAGUUUGACUUCAACCAAGUGUCAAUGUCCAUUAUGCAUCUUUCAAGAUUACACAGGGCUUGUGUGGCACUAGUUUGAUUUGGUAAAAAUGAUAUGAAAAUCUGGAUAUCAUCUGCAUAUAAAUGAUAGUGAACAGAGUGACGUUUAAAAAUAUCUUGAAGCCCUGUCAAAUAAAUUGGAAAACAAAGUGGGCGGCAGAGCGAAUUUGAAAGUGGGCGCACAGGGAAAAAGGGCACAUUUUUUUUCGAAAGAGGCACUAUUUUAAUACUAAGAAAACAAAUUACUUAUUUAAAGCGGCGUAAUGAGCCAAAUAUUUUUAGGCAGCUAGAUACAUGUAUGUCGUAUCACGUUAAAUUUAUAAGAAGUUGCGAGCAAGUGAAGCGAAAGAGCAAAAAUGUUGACAUUUUUAUAACGAAAAUCCAACUUUGUGAUAGAUUUUGACAUAAUAUUCAGAAAAUAAUCAUAUUUCACCCAUCUCUCUUUCUUAGGCUCAUAUAAUUUGGUGUGUAUGAUACUAGCAUGGAUCCCAGGAAGCAUAUUGAUUUUGAGGUCAAAAGGUCAAAGUCACAGUGACAUAUUUUCAUCUUACCUUCUGCAGUCUUUGUAAACGCGAUAACUUUAGUUUAACUUAACCUAGGCUCAUACUUUUUGGUGUGUAUGUUACUAGAUCCAAUCCAAAGAAGCCUAUGUAUUUUGAGGUCAAAAGGUCAAAGGUCAAGAUUACAGUGACAUGUUUUCAUCUUACCCAAGUUCGUAAUUCCUUGUAAACGCGAUAAUUUUAGUUUAACUUAACGUAGGCUCAUAUAAUUUGUUGUUAUGACACUAGCAUGGAUCCCAGGAAGCCUAUUGAGUUUGAGGUCCAAAGGUCAAGGUCACAUUGACAUGUUUUCAUCUUACCCUUCUGAAGUCUUUGUAAACGUGAUAACUUCAGUAUAACCACUUGACUGCGUAGCACGUAAUAUUACGUGCUGGGCGAGUGUACGAUCUGUGCGGGGCACGUAAUAUUACGUGCUUGACCUAUCUUCUGUUUGAGGCCUCAGGCACCAUGCUGUUAAUACCCCUACGAUGAAAACAGCGCAUGUAUAUCAAAUUUCAGACUAUGGUCACCAGAUGGCGCUAUUCAACAAAAGUUAUCAAAACUUUUGCAGUGAUUUAUAAAUGUUUGUAUUCACUUUUCCAUAGUGAUAGUGUACGGCGCUCAGUUCAAAAUGGCAACUCGCAGUGGAGAAGUGAAUCGGAAGGAUUUUGAGGAAAGUUUAGACGAUAGGAGUAAUAAAUUUAGUGAAAGAUCUGUGUCAGAAGGGGAGGGUGAUUUUUUGUAUGGAUAUUGGAAAUAGUGAUGAGGAAAGUGAUGUGAUUAUUUACAAUUCUCCUCCAAGUUGCUGUCGGUUGUAGUCCAAAGUAGAUCUACAUGUAACUUGUUAGUCCCAUUCUGUAGCACCAGGGGGGUCAGUGCGCAUUACAGCCUAUAGCAGUCAAGUGGUUAACUAAACCUAGGCUCAUAUAAUUUGGUGCAUAUGAUACUAGCAUGGAUCCCAGGAAGCCUAUGGAUUUUGAGGUCAAAGGUCAAGGUCACAGUGACAUGUUUAUCUUACCCUUCUGUAGUCCUUGUAAAUGCUAUAACUUCAGUUUAACCUAACCUAGGUUCAUACUAUUUGGUGUGUUAUUGAUACUAGCAUGGAUCCCAGUCAACUUUGGUGAAAAAUAAAAUUCUUCUUAUCAUCCUCUUGCUCUCUUUCUUUUUCUCCGUUUCCCUUUCCUCUUUUUUGUUGUUGUAAUCUCUCUCUUUCUCCUUUCAUUUUGUCUCGCCUGCAUAGCAGAGCGAGACUAUAGGCGCCGCUUUUCCAACAGCGGCGACUGCGGCGUCGUCAACAUUGAAAUCUUAACCAAGGUUAAGUUUUUGAAGUGUCAUCAUAACUUAGUAAGUAUAUGGACCUAGUUCAUAAAACUUGGACAUAAAGGUAAUCAAGUAUUACUGAACAUCCUGCCUGAGUUUCAGGUCACAUGACCAAGGUCAAAGGUCAUUUAGGGUCAAUGAACUUAGACCAUGUUGGGGGAAUCAAUAUCAAAAUCUUAACCAAGGUUAAAGGAGAAUGAAACCCUUGAAACCAGCUGAAUCCAUAUC